GCAUCCGUAGCUCAGCUGGAUAGCGUACUCGGCUACGAACCGUGCGGUCGGAGGUUCGAAUCCUCCCGGAUGCACCA
rnacentral:tRNA from 1 species